CCACCCCCACCCCCUUCUCUUUCUCUCCAAAUAAACAUGUGCUCAUGUAAACCCUCAUUUUUCAGAAAUCAUAUUUGUGAAAACUGUAAAUCAAACUCAAUUUGUUCACUCACGGAUCAUUUGGGGAAGAAAAUUACAAAAGACAGGAUUCUCAUCCUUUCGUAUCCAAGAUUACAUGCAUGGAUCUAGAGGUUUUUUCAAGCUUUAGGGAAGUGUCAUGAUUUCAUUACCUUGUUGGAUGGUCUAAUAAUCAGGUAAAUAUGUCCACCCUUUCCAUAAUAUGAUUGAAAAAACUAGAGUAGAGGAGGAGAGGGGAUGAAGAAGGUGUUUAAAGUAGAAGUGUGGAGUUUUAAAUAUUUUCUAACUCUAAUUAAUAUUUCUUUUACAGUGGAUGAAAUAGCUAAUGCUUUGAUUCAUGUACUAACUAUUAAAAUAUUAGCAGAACAUUUCUAUCAUUGUUGUAUGCCUAGAUCUUUUUGAUAUUCUUAUGUCUUCACCACAUGCAUCGCUAUAUAUGAGAAAGGAAUUUGUGUACAUAACAAAUAUGUAGCCACGAAAGUUAUUUGUUGCCACAGAGGAAAUUCCAGGAAGCUUAGUUUAGUUGUAUAAAUAUAUAGCCAUGAAAGAGGAACUGUCUUCAUAAAUUUAGGUCGUAUCCUUGAUUGACUUGAAAUUCAUUUUCUGGAAUGUAGAUUAGUUCAACGAGCAGGGUCUAAAAUUCAUCCUUUAAUGCUGGAGUAUUGACUAUGUAUAUAUUGUGUAGUUCUUCACCUUUCUAGUUUUGUGUUUGUUAUCCUGCGAUUUCUUAGCAACUGCUGCUCAAGAUGGUGUUAAACUUUGGGACUUGUGCAAAUUGAAGAACUUUAGAACUUUCACUUCUUACGAUGAGAAUACACAAACUCAAUCAGGUAUACAUUAACUGCACUCUAUUGAAGCAAGACACUAAAUUCAUACUAUGAAUAAAAAAUAAUUGAAUCUCAUAUUUGUUCUUAUACUUCUGAAUAAUUUAACUGGAAGGCUGUAUACCAUUUUUAACACUUAUAACUGAAUCUAUAGUUAAGUUAAAUGUCCACUGUUGAUGAUACUAGAGCUUCAUUCUGAGUUGGGAAAACUAAAGUAGGAGUUGAAUUGAAUAGCUUCUCUAAUUACUAUCAAAGUUCUAGUUUAUUUUUUUCUUCUUUAGAAUAGAUUGAUGUAUUUUAAUAAAAGAGUCUGAAAAAAACAGUGUGUCAAUAUUGUUUCUUGCUAGUAACACUAGUUUAGGACGUUGGUAUUAUAUUUGUUGUUGAAAAUAAUUUAUCUUCCUUGUGUCACAUCAUUAUUUUUUAUUAAUAUUGUUCUACUAAGCAGUUUCUACGACUAUAACUUAUGUUUGUUUUUGUAAGAUUACUACCUUAUUGUUGGAUCUAAAACAAUAAAAUGACUUGUACUCAAGAUUAGCACUAUACAGGUGACCAUCUACCCUAUUCGACUAUAUUUGUAUGUGUUGGCUUCUAUUACCAUGUUCUUUGUUCUCAUUCCGGCUGCUAUUAAUGCUUUUGGUUGUACAUCAUAUUCGUUCUUACUCUCUUUAAGCUACCCUCUCUUUCGAAGUUUCUAAUAAUGAAAACUUUUUUAGAAAACUAUUUUUCUAUCUCAGUUGUUUUUUACUUGUAUGGUAUACAUGUAAGAGUCCAUAUACAUCACAUCUCUAUAUUCUCUUAAUAAGGGUCUACACAUCGUAUAGCAAAAACUUAAAAUGUUUCGUAGGUAGAUAAUAUUCGAUUGACAAGUGUAAUCAUGACUCGAGAGAAAUUCUCCUGCAAUUUGUUUACACAACUCUAUUUAGACUGGAAUGUUAGGAACUGAACAGAGCAAAGAAACCUUAACAUUGCCGUUUUAGCUUUCUUACAAAAUUUCUAAUUCUUAUGACUAAUCUGCCCAAUUCAUAAACCUCAACUUUUGUGUUGCUGAAUCCAAUAACUAAGCAUAAAUAUAGCAAAAACAAUAUCUUAGCAAACUACUUUUUUCCAGAAUUUCUAGUUUUCAAUAAAGUUUCUUCAUUCUUGCAAGCUAGUUAAUGAAAGUCAACACAUUUGUUGUUGAAUAUGUAUUAAGUUUGGCUCUGUAGUUUAGUCGUGCAUCUUAGAAAAUUAUUAUGUUUCAUGAUUGGACUUAGAGAUUUAGUCCAGUAUUAUGAGAAAAUUUUUUCAUAUAGUGCACAAUUGGUACAAUUUGUAACUCGAGUGUAAGUGCUUGAUCAAAUAGGCCUAAAUUUGAGUUUAUUUUAACAAAACCAUGUUAAAUUUAAUUUAUGUUUUUUAGUGUUUAAGGACUAGUUGAUUAUGUUUUUUUUUCUCAAUUUCUAUAAUGUGUCUAGGUUGUAUAUAAUGUUAAAUGUUAACUUCUACUUAACAUUAUUUGGUUGACAUUCUAAUUUAGUAUUGAAUAUACUUGGGCAGCCUUCUUUCAGUUGUUUCAAAUUUUGAAGAUGGAUAUAUUUGAGACUCCAAUGCUCGAGUUACUAUUAGACAUAAUUCAUCAUUUAACUAAUUUUCUAGAAGUUCAUCUUUAUAGUUUUUGUAUUGUUUAAAUUGUGUAUAUUGCAGGUGAUGAAGACAUGAGUUCAGAAGUCAAGCAAUAAAUUUUGAAGUCAUAAAGCAAGCUAUUAAGUUCGUGAUCAUUUUUCAAUGACUAAUAGAUUAAAAUUUGUAUUUUUCAUUAUGGUUGUACAUACUUUUGGUAAGAGGUUGUGUAAACAAUAUAGUGAUUUUUAUCUUAGUCGUCUAGUGUCACCAAUAAGAUGUUAUCCAUAUUUUAUACAUAAUUAAUUAUAUGUAUUAAACCAUGAUAUUAUUGAAUAUAUUAUUUUUGGAAUCC